GACGAACGCUGGCGGCGUGCCUAAUACAUGCAAGUCGAACGCAGUGGGGACGGGUGAGUAACACGUGGGUAACCUCCCAUCAGAGGGGAUAACACUUGGAAACAGGUGCUAAACAGAUACUGCUGGAUGAACGCGUGGGGCAUUAGCUAGUAGGUGAGGUAACGGCCCACCAAGUCCACGAUGCAUAGCCGACCGGAGAGGGGGAGCGGCCACACUGGGACUGAGACACGGCCCAGACUCCUACGGGAGGCAGCAGUAGGGAAUCUUUGGCAAUGGACGAAAGUCUGACCGAGCAACGCCGCGUGAGUGAAGAAGGUUUUCGGAUCGUAAAACUCUGUUGUUAGAGAAGCGGUAUCUAACCAGAAAGCCACGGCUAACUACGUGCCAGCAGCCGCGGUAAUAC
rnacentral:rRNA from 1 species